CGCGCGCCGAACGGACGCCGCCGCGCUGCAAGCCCGCGCCCUGGGUCCCCGAGGGGAGCCUGCGGCGGCCCUUAGUGGAGGCGGCCGGGCUGGGGGCCACGGCGAGGAGGCCGAGCGCCCCGGCCAGAGAUAUUACAACUUUCACAAAAUUCACUUCGCUUUCAGUCAAAACCAGAAAUUAGAUAACAGAAAUGCCACACUGCCAACACCGACCGGGAGGAAAGCCUCGUUGGCGGAGACCGCUCAACAGAGGCCUCCACGUGUUCUCCCAGCCCGGGUCGCAGGUGAAGGGGGAGUGCCUCCUGCAGGGACCGGUCUCCCGCAGACACUCAACCUCCGGAAUGUAAAACACCUGUUAAUAAUUGUCAAGCGUCUGUUAAUUUCCAAAUACAGUUUUUGAAAGUUGUAUGCACUAGAUAAAAUAAUUUAAUGUUUGGAAGUAUGUGAAAGACAGACAUUAGAUUGAGACAAAUUAAAAACUUGUUCCCAAGUUAACAGCUCUGUUGACGAUUGUUAUUAGUUUGACUAAUUUUAAGAGGACUCUUAGUCUUACAUAAAGAAUCUUGCACCUAAAAAUUUUCUCCUACAACUUUAAAAAACUUUAAAAAGUUUUUUUUUUUUUCUUCCGAGAUGGAGUCUCUGUCACCCCCAGGCUGGCGUGCAGUGGCAUGAUCUCAGCUCACUGCAGCCUCCACUCCCUGGCUCAAGCCAUCCUCCCAUUUCAGCCUCUGCAGUAGCUGGGACUAUAGGUGCAUCCAUCACACCUAGCUAAUUUUUGUAUUUUUGGUAGAGAUGGGGUUUCACCAUGUUGCUCAGGCUGGUUUCAAACUCUUGGUCUCAAGCAAUCCACCCACCUCAGCCUCCCAAUGUGCUUGGAUUGCAGGCGUGAGCCACCAUGCCCAGCCUAAAGAGUGUCUGUAUUUUGAACUGUAUGGUAGAAAAGCACAAA